rnacentral:rRNA from 1 species
UACGGGAGGCAGCAGCUAAGAAUAUUCCGCAAUGGACGAAAGUCUGACGGAGCGACGCCGCGUGGAUGAUGAAGGCCGGAAGGUUGUAAAAUCCUUUUAUGACUGAGGAAUAAGUUCUCUGAGAGAAACGGAGGAUGGUGACUGUAGGUCAUGAAUAAGCAACGGCUAAUUACGUGCCAGCAGCCGCGGUAAU